rnacentral:rRNA from 1 species
GAUCCUGAAACUGAAGUGGAUUAGGCGGAUGACGUUCGGAUCGCGAGCGAAGCGCGCGAGACGAGCGGCAUCACAGCGAAAUUGGUCCGCGAGGGCCAAUUGAGCUGGGAUGACGGCGUACCUUUUGUAUAAUGGGUCAGCGACUUACGUUGUGUGGCGAGCUUAACCGAAUAGGGGAGGCGUAGCGAAAGCGAGUCCGAACAGGGCGAUUUAGUCGCAUAGCGUAGACCCGAAACCGGAUGAUCUAGCCAUGGCCAGGCUGAAGCGGGGGUAACACCUCGUGGAGGGCCGCACCCACUACCGUUGAAAAGGUAGGGGAUGAGCUGUGGCUAGGGGUGAAAGGCUAAACAAAUCCGGAAAUAGCUGGUUCUCUCCGAAAACUAUUUAGGUAGUGCCUCGCGUAUCACUCACGGGGGUAGAGCACUGUUAUGGCUAGGGGGGCAUAGAGCCCUACCAAACCAUGGCAAACUCCGAAUACCGUGAAGUGCAGCGCGGGAGACAGACUCCGGGUGCUAACGUCCGGGGUCGAAAGGGAAACAGCCCAGACCCUCAGCUAAGGUCCCCAAGCCACAGUUAAGUGGGAAACGAGGUGGGAAGGCUCAGACAGCCAGGAUGUUGGCUUAGAAGCAGCCAUCAUUUAAAGAAAGCGUAAUAGCUCACUGGUCGAGUCGUCCUGCGCGGAAGAUGUAACGGGGCUCAAACUGUGCACCGAAGCUAGGGGUGAAAGUAGGGUCAGAGACGACUUUCGUCGACACCUGAACCCUUGCAGGCCAGAUACGAAAAUCGUCUCUGACCCUACUUUCACGGUAGGAGAGCGUUCCGUAGGCCGGUGAAGGUGGCUCGAGAGGGCUGCUGGAGGUAUCGGAAGUGCGAAUGCUGACAUGAGUAGCGAUAAAGCGGGUGAAAGGCCCGCUCGCCGAAAGCCCAAGGUUUCCUGCGCCACGUUCAUCGGCGCAGGGUGAGUCGGCCCCUAAGAUGAGGGCGAGAGCCGUAGUCGAUGGGAAGCGGGUUAAUAUUCCCGCACCGAUUUGGCAUGCGAUGGGGUGACGGAGAAGGUUAGGCAGGCCGGGUGAUGGAUGUCCCGGUUUAAGCGUGUAGGCGUGGCCCUUUGGCAAAUCCGGGGGUCUUAGCUGAGGCGUGACGACGAUGGCGGGCUUGCCCGCCUGAAGCUGCCGAUACCCUGCUUCCAGGAAAAGCCUCUAAGCUUCAGUGCCAAGUCGACCGUACCGCAAACCGACACAGGUGGGCAGGAUGAGUAUUCUAAGGCGCUUGAGAGAACUCGGGUGAAGGAACUCGGCAAAUUUGCACCGUAACUUCGGGAUAAGGUGCGCCCCUGGUAGGUGAACGCGUACAGCGGGAGCCGAUAGGGGUCGCAGUGAAAAGGUGGCUGCGACUGUUUAACAAAAACACAGCACUCUGCAAAGACGAAAGUCGACGUAUAGGGUGUGACGCCUGCCCGGUGCCGGAAGGUUAAGUGAUGGGGUGCAAGCUCUUGAUCGAAGCCCCGGUAAACGGCGGCCGUAACUAUAACGGUCCUAAGGUAGCGAAAUUCCUUGUCGGGUAAGUUCCGACCUGCACGAAUGGCGUAACGAUGGCCACGCUGUCUCCUCCUGAGACUCAGCGAAGUUGAAGUGUUUGUGAAGAUGCAAUCUCCCCGCGGCAAGACGGAAAGACCCCGUGCACCUUUACUGUAGCUUUGCAUUGGACUGUGAUGAGGCUUGUGUAGGAUAGCUGGGAGCCUAUGAAGCGAGGGCGCUAGCUCUCGUGGAGGCAACGUUGAAAUACCAGCCUGGCGUCAUUGCGGCUCUAACCUAGCCCCCUUAGCGGGGGCGGGGACCGUGCAUGGUAGGCAGUUUGACUGGGGCGGUCUCCUCCCAAAGAGUAACGGAGGAGCUCGAAGGUUCGCUUAGCGCGGUCGGACAUCGCGCACGACGUGCAAAGGCACAAGCGAGCUUGACUGCGAGCCUGACAAGGCGAGCAGGUGCGAAAGCAGGACUUAGUGAUCCGGUGGUUCUGAAUGGAAGGGCCAUCGCUCAACGGACAAAAGGUACGCCGGGGAUAACAGGCUGAUACCGCCCAAGAGUUCAUAUCGACGGCGGUGUUUGGCACCUCGAUGUCGGCUCAUCACAUCCUGGGGCUGAAGCCGGUCCCAAGGGUAUGGCUGUUCGCCAUUUAAAGUGGUACGUGAGCUGGGUUCAAAACGUCGUGAGACAGUUUGGUCCCUAUCUGCCGUGGGCGCUGGAGAUUUGACGGGGGCUGCUCCUAGUACGAGAGGACCGGAGUGGACGUACCGCUGGUGUACCGGUUGUGACGCCAGUCGCAUCGCCGGGUAGCUAUGUACGGAAGCGAUAACCGCUGAAAGCAUCUAAGCGGGAAACGUGCCUGAAGAUGAAAUCUCCCGGGGACUUGAUCCCCCUGAAGGGUCGUGGCAGACCACCACGUUGAUAGGCCGGGUGUGGAAGCGCGGUAACGCGUUAAGCUAACCGGUACUAAUGGCCCGUGCGGCUUGACUCC